CGUCGGCGUCAGCGUCGGCGCCAGCGUGCGUAGCGUCGGGGUCGCGUUCGACGUCGUGGGCGUGGCAGCUAAGUUCAUCGGCGGCAGCGGUGAGGAAGGAAGUGGCGGCGGCGGUCUGAGAAGUCGGAGGUCUGCGAGGAAGCAGAGGCCGGAAGCCUCAGUGUUCGCUGGCAACGGCUGCAGCGGCAGUGAACCAGGAAGCCAGGAAGCGGCUGCUGUCGUGUGGGCGUCCCGUGGGACGUGGUGCUCUGGAUGGCGCAGCUCCCAAAGUAACCACCGCCAUCAGGAGGACAGCCUCGGGUCAGCACCAAUCAAGGCAGAUGCCACCUCUUCAAUACUAACUUCCUAUUCAGGCCAGCCCUCCUCCCCGGCCAACAAGGUAAUGGAAGUCAACGGGGUGUCUUCCCCAAGGGGGUUCCCAUCUCCCUUGCUAUGUCUCAUCCAGGGCUACAUGUGAAGAGACAGGCAGGUCUGGACCUCACAGAUUCCUUGGCCAUGCCUUAAAACACACCUGCUUAUUACUGAACCCCUUCUGUCAGUUUCCAUUUGCAUCUCAGUAGGAAAACUCCCUCCUUUCUUAGAUCCUGUAACAAUGACUGUGUCCUGUGGCUUGCACCUUGUGUUUCUAAUCUGCUUGUUAGACACCCUACACAUGGAGUGGUCAGGCAUAAACCUGUCUUCGCAUUAACUGGACAGGACUCUUUCUUUCCUAUAUCCCCCAUUGUCCUCAUUUUGGCAUCGUUCCCACCAUGGGCAAUGUUUCUGGUUUGUCUUUUUAUCCUCGUAAUCGUUAGCUGCUAUUCCUACCAUGUACAACAUGUACAUGUUUCAGAAGCCCUUACAGGAGGCUGUGACUGCUGUAUCUCGAGCCGUCACGCAGGAGCAAUACAAGGCUGCUUGCUCUCUCCUUCUCCAAUCAAUCUGAUUCAGCGUAUAGAUACCCUGCCCCACGUCUACACCCCGUAUCAGCAGGAAGUAGCCAGAAAGAAACCAGCGCCCCGCUUCCUUAUCUAUACUCAAAAUCAGGAUUGAUGGAACAAGGACAGAUGUCUCAGCCAUUUUAAAAAAACUCCUGGUUACUCAUGCCUUCUUUCAAGAGACCAGUUUCAUCUCACAUCCUAUUGUUCUCCCCUCCACCCCCCACCGCCUGCAUUCUCCUCAGGUUUGGAAGCCAGGAGGCCAAACUUGAAGAACCUGUAUAGAGAUGCUCAUCUCCACCUGCUACCACCCACACCCACCAUUAGCCCACCUAAGAUUUAAAAAGGCCCUUCCUGCUGGGGUCUGGGCCGUCUGCCACGUGUUCAGUCUGUGUGCUCGCUGGCAGUUGGUCCAACUCUGGGAGUUUCUUUUCUUUGACUAAGUUUGAUCUGGCUGUGAGUUUGUAUUGUGACUGCUGUGGAUCUGCACCCUUUCCCCUGCAUUUGGUGCCCAGUGUGAGGAGGCACUGCUCUGUUUAGUCUUUACUUCAAUGUUUGUAUGACAAUAUGUCAGAAACAACCUGACGCUUGGCAGCUUCUGCAAGGUUCUGGCCUGUUCUGCAGUCUGUUUGGUGUGUGUGUUGGGGGGGGGGGGGCGGUGCUGAUAGUCAAAAAGCAGACUAAUACUAGUAAACAUAUGUUUCUCUGGGGUGUUUUGGAUAGGAUGCAAAGUGAUGAAAAAAAUUUUUUGCACUUAAUGGUUGGGUUUUGAAAAAUGGUUUUUUGGUUUUAUUUAUUUAAAAGACAUAAAGGCACAGUACAGAUAGUGACAGAGUGACGGGGGCCUGGGGUUCUUCCAUCCACUGGUUCGCUCCCUAAAUGAUUGCCAUUGCCAGGGCUCGCCAGAGCAAAAACCUUGAGCCUGGAAUUGCAUUGAGGUCUUCCGUGUUGGUGGGAGAGCUCGACUAUUGAGACAUCUGCUGCCUUGCUGGGCACAUUAGCUGGAGGCUGGAUCAGCAGUGGAACAGCUGGGACUCGAACCAGUGCCCGUAUGGGAUGCUGGCCUCACAGGCGGCGGUUCAUCUGCUGUGCCUCAGUGCUAGCCCAAGUGAGGAGCAGGUUUGCAGACAGUUUCCGGGUUCAUGGGAGUAUCUACCUGUUGAUUGUGAAGAGAUGCAUUCUGGUUUGGGAUGGCUAGGGAAGUAGGAAUGUAGAGUGAGGUAAGUUGAAAGGAGUAGGGUUCUCUGUGACCUUCUGCCUUCUCCUGAGGUUUUCUGCUGGUUUCUGUUCCUGCUGUCUCUUGGCCCUUGGAUAAUCAAAAGCAUUUGUGUUUAAGGCUGAAUACACAAGUACCUGAAUCUGUUAUCAUGAGACACUGAAUUGACAAAGGCUACCGAGUGUUCAUGCACGCAAUUUCCCUUUUUAAAGCUCUAGGAUUAUUGAUUUAAGUUUCACAUGGUUUUUAAAUAGAGUGUGUAUGACUUUAGUUAAUAUUUUAGCCCUCCAAAUGUCCCAUUUAGUUGGAUCUGGACUAGUUUUAUACAUGCCCGCAUGUAAAUUUUUAAGCUUUGCUAGUUUGUUCACAGUGCAUAGAUUCUCACGCAGAGUUGUCAUUUUGUUACCCAAGCCUAAAUGUAAUUUAGGUUUUAAUUUGUCUCCUAUUUAAGCCCAGAUCUACUUUCGUUAAAUCUAAUUUCAUGGCUUUUCCCAAUUAUCAUAUUCUUUUUUAUCUCUGAUAAAAUGAAAUUUAAUUGUGAAAACUGAAAGUUUUGAAAAAUAGUCACAUCUUUAGAUGGCACAGAGAUCUCUGCCCAUUGGUCAAAGUCUUUAUAUAAUAAAUAUGUAAUAUAAAGCUUUUAUAUUGACUUCUACUUGAUCUGCAUUUUUCUUACAAGUACAGUAAACUUUCUAAUGUACUUGGUUUCAUUUUUUGCUUACGAAGCUUUAUGUGUCCUGCCUCUGUGUUUGCAUAAGUGUUUGUAACUUUUUGUCACUCAUUGACUGAAGCUAUAUGUGGGGACAUGCCUGAAGAAUGGCUUCCUUGUUGUUGUUAAAAUUUUAUUCAUUUUGGCCGGCGCCGCGGCUCACUAGGCUAAUCCUCCGCCUUGUGGCGCUGGCACACCGGGUUCUAGUCCCGGUCGGGGCGCCGGAUUCCGUCCUGGUUGCCCCUCUUCCAGGCCAGCUCUCUGCUGUGGCCAUGGAGUGCAGUGGAGGAUGGCCCAAAGUACUUGGGCCCUACACCCCAUGGGAGACCAGGAGAAGUACCUGGCUCCUGCCAUCAGAUCAGCGCGAUGCGCUGGCCACAGCGCGCCAGCCGCGGCAGCCAUUGGAGGGUGAACCAACGGCAAAGGAAGACCUUUCUCUCUGUCUCUCUCUCUCUCUCUGUCUACUCUGCCUGUCACAAAAUUAAAAAAAAAAAGAUUUAUUCAUUUGAAAGGGAGGAUUACAGAGAGGCAGAGAGAUUGAGAACGCUGGUUCAUUCCCCAAAGGGCUGCAGUGGCCAGAGCUGUGCCGGUCCAAAGCUGGGAUCCAGGGUUUCUUCUGGUCUCCCGUGUGGAUGCAGGGCCCCAAGGAUUUUAGCCAUCUUAUACUGCUUUUCCAGGUCAUAGCAUAGAGCUUGAUUGGAAGUGGGACAGCCCGGACUCAAACCAGCACCCGUGGGGGAUGCCAGCACUGCAGGCGGCGGCUUUACCAGUUUUGAAACAGCGCGGGCCCCGGGAAUGGUUUCUUGAAUUACGUGUGUGCGUGUGUGUGUGUGUUUGUGUGUGUGUAUGAAUAAUAGAGCAAGGUUUUUAUCCACUGAUUCACUCGCUGGAUGACCACAAUGGCCAGGCCAAAGCUAGGAGCCAAGAACCCAAUCCAGAUCUCCCACAUGGAUGGCAGGAGUCCAGGCACUGGGGUUGUCUUCUGCCCUCCCAGGUGCAUUAGCAGGGAGCUGAAUCAGAAGCCAAAGAGCCAGGAUUCAAAACCUUAAGUCCCAUAUGGGAAGCUGGUGUCCCAAAUGCAGCUUAACCCCCUGAACCACACCUCCAGAUCCACUCAGAUUUAUCCAGUAUCAGACAGAAUCUACUUUGUAUUACUGAUCAUUAAUCUCCUUUUCACACAACAUUUGCACUAGUAAUGUCUCAGCGAAUGCUGAUAAAUUGGUGUUUGGAAAGCAGUAUGGAAAUAGAUCUCAAGAAUGCAAGGUGCAAAAGGAAGAUUGAGCCAAGGGAUCAGAAGAUUGUUUCUCAGGUCCGUAAUUUAUAUCCUGCAAGAAAGUAGAAUUAGCAGACAACAGGUAUGCCCGUGUGUUACGGAGUAACCCUUCCAUGUUGUCUGUUGGCAAGGGUUUUUCAUGAGGGGCUUUUCCAUGAGCUUUCUGAAGUUCACAUGCAUGGAUUUAAAAAUAAAUUGCACCUGCAAGUGGCCCCAAGUGAUGACCUGAUUGGCAACAACCAGGAGAGUCAAGAUAUAAGUUUGAAUCAAAAUGUCAUCACCAACAGCCGUACAUCAACUCCCAAGAGAAUCAUGUUAAGAAAAAGACUCAGUUUAAGCUCAAGUCCUAGUCCAAAACUGAUUAACAAAAAGGUGAAUUGCUCAGGAAUGAAACCAGAAGCAUGCAAUAUAUUUCAAUAUGUGAAAAAAAUUGCACCAAAGUAAAUAUGUAAAUGUCAUUUUCCACAAACUUCAGCAAAUACUCUUGUACUUUUAAUUGUUUUAAUCUUUGUUGGAACAUAAGCUCUCUGAGAAGGCAGAACAUUUUGUUUUGCUCAGCAGGGUGUUAGAAGUGCCUAGCACAUAGUGUGUGCUCAUAAACAUCUGUCAGCUUUAUUGAAACACAAAAUUAGCCCCAAGCCUCGCGUUAAACACAGUUAGUUAGAUGGUUCUAUAUUGAAAAACAGUGCAGUCCUAGGUGCAGAAAGAAAUUUGUUCCAAUUUUCUGAUCUCGUGUAACAAGUCAUCCCAGACGUUGUGGUUUAAAUGGUACUUAUUAAUUUCCCAGUAUUUGGGGGAUGGCUGGGUGGUUCUUACUUGGAGUUCUUGUGUGUAUAGUCUGGUGGUGGCUGGGCUGAUGGUUCCUUCAUCAUGAGGCUGUUGAAAGCUGGCAGAAAGUAACCAUUUCUUCCUCCAGGUGGUGUCUCCACUUGGCUCACUUCUGCUUCCUCACAACAUGGGCAGUAGGAGUGAUUUCUUACACCAUAGCUGGAUCCCCAUAGAGCCAGUGUUAGGAGAGGCCCAGGUGGCAGCUGUCUUGCUGCCUUAGAAGCCUUAAGAUCAUUUAUGCAUGUUCCAGGAAGGAAAGGAUUCAUCUACUCACAGGAUGUUAAACUCACGAUGUUAUUGACAAAGUGACCUUCUGAACAGAAUGCCAUGGAAAAUAUGGAGCAGAUAGUGUUGAACGGUAAUUAAGAGUGAAACGGUGUGUCUGGUUAGGUUGCCUUGGGCAAGCCCUGACUUCACCAUACACCAGUUCUCUUUGACACAUCUUGGCCAUUUCAGGUUCAGUUUCUCACCCAUAAUAAUGAAUAAGCCCAUUCAAAUUGCAUCGUUAGAUUAUUCUGCCAUUAGGCAUGUUUUGGUGGAACAUUUUGAGACUCUUUGUAAAAGGAACAUGGAAGCUAAUAUAAUCAAACUAAUUAAUUGUAUUUGGAAUAUUGUUUUUCUUGUCACUUUGACCACUAAAUAACUUUAAAAGUGGAAUGAACCAGUGAUUGGUUGGUCUUAAGUUUUAGGAAUGUAGGGAGAUGAUCCUUCUUGUCUUUGGCCUUGGGUGCAUGCAUUACGGUGCAAAAAUGCUGCAAAAUCAUCCCAUCCCUGACUUUCUUGAAGUUUACUAUUAGAUAAAUUUAUUACAGAUCAGUCCUUACUGAUAUUUAGAUCUCUGUUCUUUAAUGCUAGAAGUGUACUCCUCAGUGAGCCUGAAGAAAAUUCUACUUCUUUGCAAUGAAUUCUGCUACCACUCCAGAUUCAUCCUGUUAGCCAUCUGAUGCAACGUUGAAUGAGUUUUCUGAAUCAAUGCUGGUUUCUUGGAAGCCAAACCAUGUAAAGGCUUUCAAAGUUAGAACCUGUACCUAUUGUUCUUAUGAAGCCAGGCAGGGUCCGUUGAUUGGCUUCUGGAUAAGUGAAAGUGAAGAAUUUGGAGAUUGCUUUUGGGACCAUUUCCUAAUCUUAUGCUGAAGCAUCAGCUCUGUUUGUCCUGAGGUUAUUUCAGGUAGUUAAUAGAUCUGCCUUCUCUUCAUUUCACUUGAUCUUAGACAGCAAGGCAUUCUGAUUGUUGAGCGUUAGUGUGUUUUUAUCUUUUUGCUUGUUAUCUCUACAUUCUUCUGCAAUGAUGGAGUGUCAGAAGAGGCUCACCGAAAUAAAAAUCAAAGGACUGUUUUCAUUUUCUAGUACUACCUUGUAGAUCGUCUGUUCACAUAACCAUCAGUAUUCCACCUUCUUCUUGGCAUAUUAUGAGGGAACCAUGAAAGGUUUUAAAAACUCGUAAGAGCAUUCAAGUGCAAGUCAUUCUUAACAAUGGAAAGGAGAUAGAUGUUGUUGUUUUCCAGUUCUGAAGAAGGUAGACUUCCAGAAUGUUUAAGGUGUGCUGGGAAUAUUAUAGGAGAUGAAGAUCGACUUUUCUGCACCUGGUCGUGAAUGUUUUUCAGACCAAGGGUGUGAUUUCUGUUCCUCCUGCCUCGUUCUUUUAAAUGCUGUAGUCGUUUUCAGUCUUUCUCAGUGAAUGUUCUUACUCCCAUCUCCCCAUACGUUCCACCCAGUAUCCGUGUUGACCCACAUUUUUUUGCCUUUAAAGAGAGUUACCAUCAAGGAGGAUGAGCAGACCAGAAUCAUUGUGGUGGCCAGAUUCAUGAGGAGUGGUAGGAAUCUAAAUGAUAAUUGUGUACACACAGGUCACCAUGGGUGCCUUGUGAAUAGUAUUUCCAAUGUGGAAUGAAGAGCAUUACAGUCUUUGGAUAGAACACAACCAGAUUACUCAGAUACAGUUGUCUCUAGAGAUUCACAUGUGGGAACUUACCACAAGAAGUGGUAGAAAAAUGUGACUGCAAGGUCUUAGUGUAGGCUUUGAAAGUAACGUUCACAGUCAUUUCAGUGUUGCUGAUGGGAAAAUUACUCAUGAGGAUACGCAGCAUUUAGAAUGAGUAUUUUAUAAAACCUAGUAACUCAAAUUUCGAGACAAUUCGUGAUGCGGGAGUCAUUCCAAGUAUUAUAUUGUCGUUGUCCAUUCAUGGAGACGUGCAUGGAAUCAGGAGCCUGAAAAGAGUGAUGGUCUCUAUAAGAUCCUUCAGUGGGGCAACCAAACUUUGCUUUCAUUAUGGAAACAGUUGUAAAGGACAGUUUCUUACUUCCCAAAUUUCGUGUCAUGGGGCUUCUUAUUCAUGUCAGUCACGAACUCUGGGAAGUGACAACAAUCCCAGUUGUGAGUAAAAGGCCCAUGGAAGUGACACAGAUUUGGGAAAGCCGAGAAUUUGUUUGGAAGUUGAGAUAAAGAAUGGACUCUGGGUAUAUCAGAUGUUUCAUACUUUGUUUUUAAAAACAGAAUAGUUAACGUGUUUGUAGGAAUAGAUAGCAUGUGAGGAUUCAAACUUGACAACAUACGUUAGAUGUUUUCGUAAAAGCUGCUUUGGUUUUCAGUCGUUUACUCUAUUUCACUGCCUUUCCACUCUUGUAAAUUAACUAUUCAACUGCUACACAGUCUUUAUAACUUUAUGUUUUACAUAAUUAUAGUCUGUGCUGCUUCAUAGUAAGACUGUACUCCACCCAAAUUAGAAGCAGUCAAAGAAAUUAAUUCAAUAGCAGUCAAAUUCACGUAAGUGAAUGCUGGAGGCUCAAGGAUGUGUAAGUACUGAUUUUGUGCUGCUGGCACAAAACUUCUCUUUAUUGGUAUUAUUAGAAGGAUGUAGUAUAAGUCUUUGUUAAUGAAAUCCUCAGAAAGGAGGUGAUUAAAUAGAACUAAGUACUUCCUCAGCAUACAUACCACUUACUUGCUGAUCGGUAUCGGGAAAUACUGAAUCUGGCUUCUCAUGAAACUUUUGGUCCCGGGGAACAAGGUCUUGUAGGUCCAUCUUAUUAAAGAUUUGUUUAUUUGAAAGGCAGAGUUGACAGGGAGAUCUUCCAUCUGCUAUUUCACUCCCCAAAUGGCCACAAUGGAAAGCGUUAGGCCAGGCCAAAGGCAGAAGCCUGGAACUGCAUCCGGGUCUCCCAAAGCGGUGCAUGGACCCAAACACUUAGGCCUCAUCAACUGCUUUCACUGGCAGAUUAGCAGGGAGAUGGAAUGAAGUGGAGCAUUGGGACUCGAACCUGUGCUCACGUGGGAUGCUGGCAUUGUGGGCUGCGGCUUAACUGACCGUGCCAUAGUGCCAGGUCAUAUCAGGCCCAUUUCUAAAACAUUGGAGAUCUUUUGGGAAGAUCACUUCGGUCAGACCUGCUCGGUAAAGCAAUCCCAACAGAGUUCCUUUCCUCUGCUGCUUCACUGCUCGACUGCCUGCAACUGCUGGGGCUGGGCCAGGCCAAAGCUAGGAGCCGGGAACUCAGUCCAAGCCUCCCACGUUGGAGGAAGGGAACCAGAUGAUUGAGUCAACAUCUACUGCCUCCAUGUGUGUGCAUUAGCAGGAAAUUGAAUCGAAACUGGUGCUUGGUCAUGUAUGGAAUUUGGAUUUCAAACCAGGAUUUGGUUCCCAACUGCAUCACGUACUCUAAUCUGUCAUUAAAAAUGUUGUAAUCUGCGUAUGCCUUCAUUCUGCUUCUGUUUUCUCCGUUGCAGCCUUACACUUCUAGUCAUCUACGAGACCCUCAUCCACCCAGUUUCCACCAUUGCACCACCAUCCCUCCUACUCUAUGUUAGCUUCAACCUACUUGAGGGCCUACAUACUUGCCUCCCACUCUGUCCUCUCUGUAUAUCCUCCCAUUCCUUCUGGCCCACCACGUUGGACUCACUUUCCUCGUAACCUCGAACCCUUGGGGAGAGCCUCAGGUGGCCACUGGGCUCACAGCCCAAGAAUGUCCAGAAGAUUCUACUUGUUCUUCCUUCCUCAUUGUACCCCCCACCCCAUCCCAGCUUAGGUGGCAACUAAGGCAGGGAUACCUGUGCCUACCCAUCUUCCAAGACUCCCUGUAGCACCUGCUCCUCAGCUGUCUACCUGGCCAGCCUGCACCCUUCCUUGGAGCUCUAGAGCCCCUCAGACCAGGAUGGUUUCAGGCCCUUGCUGGGUGGGAGCUCAUCCACCUACCCCUCUGGAUGGGCAGUGGUUGUAGGUUUUGAGGCCACAGUG